AAUGUUGGGUUGAAAUUUCUGUUCAGUUUUUGAUUGAAUUGGCCAAUGGAGUCUUAAAAACUUUUCCUGAAGAAAAUGUAAGCUCAAAAGUUUGAUGAUUAAUACCCACGUUUACAAAUUUACUGCACUUGAUUAACCCAAUCUCACUUUUGCUAUGCAAACAUUUGUUUGCUCAAAUCUAAUUUGCAUGAAAACUGCAUAGAAGCUAUACUAUGGCAAGACAAAUGAGUUCAUGCCUUGUAAGUGCAAAGAACACAGAUGCACAACAAGAGAUUUGCUAAGAUGGAACUCCCAGGAAUUUUUGUGUGAAGGAAACUGUUGGGUUUAGCGAAUGUUUGAUUACAAUCAGAUGGUUGGAUUCAAGAAAACAAUUGAGGUAGUGCACUCAUCUUAUCACCACUAAGCUAACUGUUUUUUCUAGUAUGAUUUUGUGUUUGGUAGUUAGACCGAAUGAGGCAUAUUUAAAAUACAACUGCUCCACUAUAAAAGUACCUUAAACGAUGAAAGAAUAAUCUCUCUUAUCUCUGGUGUUUGACGCGUCUUUAUGUUUUUUUUUCCUUCUGCUGCCACAUUAUAUACAAAGCAAAGAUAACACACUUUUUUUAUUUUUUUAUUUUUUUAUUUUUAUUUCUUCUUUCAUGUCCUUCCUUCCGACCUUCUUUUUUAAUAGUUACUUAGUUAGCAUUGAACUUGAAUUUUUUUAACCCUUUCUUUUCUUUAGAUUUCUACAAGCGUGGAUUUGAAGAUUUGCAAAUAAGUUCAC
rnacentral:lncRNA from 1 species